rnacentral:rRNA from 1 species
CCUACGGGUGGCUGCAGUGGGGAAUAUUGGACAAUGGGCGAAAGCCUGAUCCAGCCAUGCCGCGUGUGUGAAGAAGGCCUUCGGGUUGUAAAGCACUUUCAGUGGGGAAGAAAGCCUUGGGGCUAAUACCCUCGAGGAAGGACAUCACCCACAGAAGAAGCACCGGCUAACUCCGUGCCAGCAGCCGCGGUAAUACGGAGGGUGCGAGCGUUAAUCGGAAUUACUGGGCGUAAGGCGCGCGUAGGCGGUCUGAUAAGCCGGUUGUGAAAGCCCCGGGCUCAACCUGGGAACGGCAUCCGGAACUGUCAGGCUAGAGUGCAGGAGAGGAAGGUAGAAUUCCCGGUGUAGCGGUGAAAUGCGUAGAGAUCGGGAGGAAUACCAGUGGCGAAGGCGGCCUUCUGGACUGACACUGACGCUGAGGUGCGAAAGCGUGGGUAGCAAACAGGAGUAGAUUACCCUAGUAGUC